UACAGGGGGGGGCAAGCGUUGUUCGGAAUUACUGGGCGUAAAGGGCGCGUAGGCGGUCGUGACAAGUCACUUGUGAAAUCUCCGGGCUUAACUCGGAACGGUCAAGUGAUACUGUCGGACUAGAGUACAGAAGGGGCAACUGGAAUUCUCGGUGUAGCGGUGAAAUGCGUAGAUAUCGAGAGGAACACCUGCGGCGAAGGCGGGUUGCUGGGCUGAUACUGACGCUGAGGCGCGAAAGCCAGGGGAGCGAACGGG
rnacentral:rRNA from 1 species